GUGUUGUAUGAAAGGAGAGAAGGUUAGCACUCCCCUUGAAAAAGAUGGAAGAGGCCCAAGUGGCCUUCAACUCAUAUAUGGUUAGGGCAUUGCCACCUACCUAGUGGCAUCUAUAACCAAGUUUUGAA
rnacentral:ncRNA from 1 species